UGGCUCGCGCCCAUAGUCUGGAGAAUCAGCCGCCAGGGUUGCGUUGCGGUAUGCCCCGGUUCGAGCCAAAGCGCGGCUCGUAUUGGCCGGUUUCCGCAACAAGCAAGGUUUGGCAGCCCCGUCAUUUCCAAGACCCCGCCAGCCGACUUCACCAGUUUACGGGAGCGAGCCCUUUUUU
rnacentral:ncRNA from 1 species